UACGUGAGGGGCAAGCGUUGUCCGGAUUUAUUGGCGUAAAGCGCGUGUAGGCGGCCAGGUAGGUCCGUUGUGAAACUCGAAGGCUCAACCUCGAGACGUCGACGGAACCAUCUGGCUAGAGUCCGGAAGAGGAGAGUGAAUUCCUGGUGUGAGCGGUGAAUGCGCAGAUAUCAGAGACACCGUGCGAAGGCGCUCUCGUGGACGUACUGACGCUGAGACGCGAAGCGUGGAGCGAACAG
rnacentral:rRNA from 1 species